AGAAAGAAAGAAAAUUGGUGUCUUUCCCCAGUUCGUAGUGUUCCUUCAAGAAUUUAUGAGAAGAUAGAUGGACAACUUAUUGUUGUCAGAACCAACUGAGAAUCAAGCAGGUUCAUGUGAGUCUGGUACCUCAAAUUCAAGAUCAGAACGUGGAGCUCCAGGUUGGAAACAAAGAUCAAGAUCAAGAACCAGAUCAAGAAGUAUGAAUAACAGCAGACAUAAAAGGUCAAGAUCGAGAUCGCCAUAUCACAGAAGGUCCUACAAACAUAGAGAUCAAUCCCCUUGUUACCAUGACAAAAGAUGCAAAGACCCAAGCCAGAUUGAUAUUGGUAGAAGUGGUAGCAGAUCACAGUCACCAAGACACAAGGGGGAAGGAAAGAUUCCUGCAGUUAUAGAGUUGAAUGUUGGAGGACGGAUUUUUCAAACAACACUGGAUACAAUUACAAAAUACCCACAAUCCUUCUUGGGUGCAAUGAUUAGUGGUCGUCACAAAUUGAAUUUGGACCAGAAAGGUCGAUAUUUCAUUGAUAGAAAUGGUGAACAUUUUGAACAUAUUUUAGAAUUUCUAAGAGAUGACACAUACCUACCUCCUAAGGAUGUUGUUGUAGGAGUAUUUCGCGAUGCCGAUUACUUUGCUAUUACUGAACUACGAGAUAAAUUACUCAAACUACCACCUCUGUAUCCAUUUUAUGGCAAUAGACCAGACCCAAUAGACAAUUACACAGAAAUAAAAGAAAGUGUUUUGGAAGCAGCAUAUGAUUUCAAAAAAGCCUCAGCACAUGGACAGACAGUGGUAUAUUUAAUAUAUCUUCAGGAAUCAGAAGGCGGUAUAGGUUUUGUUUAUCACAAUGAACGCCACCAUAUGUUAGAUUUGGUUAUACCUAUGGAUGGUUUUGAUAAUACAGAAAUGAUUGAGGCAUACAACAUAGACACAGAGGAUUUCUCGAUGACAAUUCCUCUCAAGGUUGGCGACAAACACCAGGCAUUGUCUAUCUCAAAUUGUAUAGUGCAUGAUUUAACAAAAGAAGGAUUGGAUAUUAAAUUGGAAAAUGAGAAUUGUACCACUGAGGGAUCUAUGACAGUGUUUGGAUUAACAACAAAGAAAUAUGGCGAAAUGGAAUGUAAACAUUGUUACUGUCAUAGUAAAUUUACAUUUUCUUGGUCACACUAAGGUGAAGGACAUUGUUACUGUCAUAGUAAAUUGACAUUUUCUUGGUCAAACUAAGAUGAAGAACAUUGUUACUGUCAUAGUAAAUUGACAUAUUCUUGGUCAAACUAAGGUGAAGAACAUUGGUACUGUCAUAGUAAAUUGACAUUUUCUUGGUCAAACUAAGGUGAAGGACAUUGUUACGGUCAUAGUAAAUUGAUAUUUUCUUGGUCAAACUAAGGUGAAGGACAUUGUUACUGUCAUAGUAAAUUGACAUUUUCUUGGUCAGACUAAGGUGAAGGACAUUGUUACUGUCAUAGUAAAUUGAAAUUUUCUUGGUCAAACUAAGGUGAAAAAAAACAACUAAAACAAAGAUGAGACAUAUCUAGAAGUUCUUUAAGAAUGUAUUCUCAAAAUGUACGUGUAAAUUAUCAUUAUCAUUGUCAAUAUGCAAUAAACAUGCAUCAUAAAAGUGUUUUGAAAUUCAUAUACAUAUAUAUAUUAAAAUUAACACAACAUAUUGUAUUUAAUCACAAUACAAUACACAUGGACACAAAAAAAAAACAUCACUCUUGGCAGUGUUCCAUGAUUCAUAUAUAGUAUAACCAUAUGAUAUAUGACUGGUAGACAUACAAAGUAAUAAAAUAUCCCAAUUAAAUAUUAUACCACUGUUACCCAAAUACAUAUGGGGUAUGUUGUUAAGAUAUUUGGAAUUCUAAAAGCAAAAAUAUGGAUCUAAAAGAACUGAAAAAGAAGAAAUAUUAUUUCCUGGUACAUGUAGAUCUCAUUACUGGGG